GACGAACGCUGGCGGCGUGCCUAAUACAUGCAAGUUGAGCGCUGAAGGUUGGUACUUGUACCGACUGGAUGAGCAGCGAACGGGUGAGUAACGCGUGGGGAAUCUGCCUUUGAGCGGGGACAACAUUUGGAAACGAAUGCUAAUACCGCAUAAAAACUUUAAACACAAGUUUUAAGUUUGAAAGAUGCAAUUGCAUCACUCAAAGAUGAUCCCGCGUUGUAUUAGCUAGUUGGUGAGGUAAAGGCUCACCAAGGCGAUGAUACAUAGCCGACCUGAGAGGGUGAUCGGCCACGUUGGGACUGAGACACGGCCCAAACUCCUACGGGAGACAGCAGUAGGGAAUCUUCGGCAAUGGACGAAAGUCUGACCGAGCAACGCCGCGUGAGUGAAGAAGGUUUUCGGAUCGUAAAACUCUGUUGGUAGAGAAGAACGUUGGUGAGAGUGGAAAGCUCAUCAAGUGACGGUAACUACCCAGAAAGGGACGGCUAACUACGUG
rnacentral:rRNA from 1 species